CAGGAUUAGAUACCCUGGUAGUCCACGCCGUAAACGAUGAGUGCUAAGUGUUGGAGGGUUUCCGCCCUUCAGUGCUGCAGCAAACGCAUUAAGCACUCCGCCUGGGGAGUACGACCGCAAGGUUGAAACUCAAAGGAAUUGACGGGGGCCCGCACAAGCGGUGGAGCAUGUGGUUUAAUUCGAAGCAACGCGAAGAACCUUACCAGGUCUUGACAUCCUUUGACCACUCUAGAGAUAGAGCUUCCCCUUCGGGGGCAAAGUGACAGGUGGUGCAUGGUUGUCGUCAGCUCGUGUCGUGAGAUGUUGGGUUAAGUCCCGCAACGAGCGCAACCCUUAUUGUUAGUUGCCAUCAUUUAGUUGGGCACUCUAGCGAGACUGCCGGUGACAAACCGGAGGAAGGUGGGGAUGACGUCAAAUCAUCAUGCCCCUUAUGACCUGGGCUACACACGUGCUACAAUGGGAAGUACAACGAGUUGCGAAGUCGCGAGGCUAAGCUAAUCUCUUAAAGCUUCUCUCAGUUCGGAUUGUAGGCUGCAACUCGCCUACAUGAAGCCGGAAUCGCUAGUAAUCGCGGAUCAGCACGCCGCGGUGAAUACGUUCCCGGGCCUUGUACACACCGCCCGUCACACCACGAGAGUUUGUAACACCCGAAGUCGGUGAGGUAACCUUUUGGAGCCAGCCGCCUAAGGUGGG
rnacentral:rRNA from 1 species